UACGUAGGGUGCAAGCGUUGUCCGGAAUUAUUGGGCGUAAAGAGCUCGUAGGCGGUUUGUCGCGUCGAAUGUGAAAACCCGGGGCUCAACCCCGGGCCUGCAUUCGAUACGGGCAGACUAGAGUUCGGUAGGGGAGUCUGGAAUUCCUGGUGUAGCGGUGAAAUGCGCAGAUAUCAGGAAGAACACCCGUGGCGAAGGCGGCUCUCUGGAACGCAACUGACGCUGAGACGCGAAAGCGUGGGGAGCAAACAGG
rnacentral:rRNA from 1 species